UAUAGUGUUAGUAAAAGUUACAGGGUCAAAUAUAAGGCUUGAUUUUCUGUUUUUACAAAUUGAAAUUUGCCAGAUGGGUUAUGUUGCCUUUGAGACCGUAUUUUAGCCCAGGAAUAUGAAUUACCCCCAUGAUACCAUUUGCAAAUGGGGUAUGUUCAGUCAUUUUUAGUAGCCACUGGCCAAACUUAGCAUUCAUAAUUGUUUUUUGCAUUUUUAACACACAAAUAUAAAUGCUAAC